GACCGAUCAUUAUGAUGUUCGAAAGAAAAUCACUCAUUCCAGAAAACCCUUGUCACUGCGAUUUUCUGUUUUUAGCUUUUUAAAAACCGAAAAAAAAACAGAGCCAUUGGAAGCACUUGACAGGAUUAAAAAUGGUACCUUUUUUGUUUUUUAUAUUCUUUUUUAUCGUUCUAAAAUUAAAGGUAUGCAGUUUAAUUUGAUGUUGUAUUUGGGAUUGCACGCAGACCUUAUGGUACCUGGGUUUAUUUCGUUGGUUAUGUUGUUUAGAACUCCGUUGCAUAGAUUUGUAUUUCUAACAAGCUUUUUGUGUUUCGUGUUGAUAUGAUAAAUUGAUAAUACUAUAGAAAUGAUUGAAUUUGGAUGAAUUUUCAGGGUGAUCUUAGAAGCUAUCUUCAAAAGAUAGGAAAGUUGUCCCCAUCAAAAGCUCUUACAUUUGCUCUGGAUAUUGGGAGGCAAGUAGUUUUUUUAACCUCAGUUUAUGUGAAUCAGGAGAAAAAAGGGGUAUGAGUUAUCUUCAUGACAGUAAGACAUAUCCAAUUAUCCACUGUGAUUUAAGGCCAAAGGUGCCAGAAAUAAUUUGCUGGAUAGUGGGGGCCAAUUGAAAGUUGCAGAUAUAUAGGCAAGAGUUAUAGGUUUAUAUACGUAUUAUAUUCUUUAUUUUUAUAAUUGUUGUUUUAAUUUAUUUUUGAUUU